rnacentral:rRNA from 1 species
GUCGACGCUGGCGGCGUGCCUAUACAUGCAGUCGAGCGGACAGAAGGGAGCUUGCUCCCGGAUGUUAGCGGCGGACGGGUGAGUAACACGUGGGUAACCUGCCUGUAAGACUGGGAUAACUCCGGGAAACCGGAGCUAAUACCGGAUAGUUCCUUGAACCGCAUGGUUCAAGGAUGAAAGACGGUUUCGGCUGUCACUUACAGAUGGACCCGCGGCGCAUUAGCUAGUUGGUGAGGUAACGGCUCACCAAGGCGACGAUGCGUAGCCGACCUGAGAGGGUGAUCGGCCACACUGGGACUGAGACACGGCCCAGACUCCUACGGGAGGCAGCAGUAGGGAAUCUUCCGCAAUGGACGAAAGUCUGACGGAGCAACGCCGCGUGAGUGAUGAAGGUUUUCGGAUCGUAAAGCUCUGUUGUUAGGGAAGAACAAGUGCAAGAGUAACUGCUUGCACCUUGACGGUACCUAACCAGAAAGCCACGGCUAACUACGUGCCAGCAGCCGCGGUAAUACGUAUGUGGCAAGCGUUGUCCGGAAUUAUUGGGCGUAAAGGGCUCGCAGCGUUUCUUAAGUCUGAUGUGAAAGCCCCCGGCUCAACCGGGGAGGUCAUUGGAAACUGGGAAACUUGAGUGCAAAAAGGAGAGUGAAUUCCACGUGUAGCGGUGAAUGCGUAAAGAUGUGGAGGACCCAGUGGCGAAGGCACUCCUUGUUGUAACUGACCUGAAGACAAGUUGGGAACAACGGAUUAAUCCUGGUUUCCCCCCUAAAUUAUGCAGGUAAGGUUCCCCCUUUAUGCCACUAG